rnacentral:rRNA from 1 species
CAGUCGUCGACCUGCUCUUCUUAGAGGGACUAGCGGCGCUUAGCCGCACGAGAUUGAGCAAUAACAGGUCUGUGAUGCCCUUAGAUGUCCGGGGCCGCACGCGCGCUACACUGAAGGAAUCAACGUGUUUUUAACCCCGUCUGGAAGGACAGGGUAAUCCGUUGAACCUCCUUCGUGAUAGGGACUGGGGCUUGAAAUUCUUGCCCACGAACGAGGAAUUCCCAGUAA